CUCUCAUCUCUCAAGAGUCUCUCGAUGUUUUUUUUGUUGCAAGUGGUAGAAGGUCGACUCAUCGGUAGGAUACUGAAGAAUCUGAGGAAGAGGAGAAAGAAGGAAAAGAGACAUUUAUGAAGCAUUUAAUACCUCCCAGGUGCUCUUCCAAGCACUUUGCUUGAAUCUCUUUUCUUCCUCACAACCACCCUACAAGAUGAAGACUUGUGUGUUUUGAGGAGAAAGAUCCCAGAGGAAGUCUCAUUGACAUCACUUCGUAUCCAGGGUGUGCACUCCCAAGAUGCCUUACGGCUGUUGACCUUCACCUUCACCACUUGGCUGAGGUUGUGUCAGUUUUCUUCACUACAAAGUUAUUCUUUGUCCCCCUUUUUCACACGGUCCCUUUGGAAGAAGCCAUUACAAGAAGUCAACACUUGAGGAG